rnacentral:rRNA from 1 species
CAAGAAACCAACCGGGAUUGCCUCAGUAACGGCGAGUGAAGCGGCAGCAGCUCAAAUUUGAAAUCCGGCCCCUCCCAGGGCCCGAGUUGUAAUUUGGAGAGGGUGCUUCGGGGGCGCGUCGCCGGCCCAAGUGCCUUGGAACAGGACGCCGUGGAGGGUGAGAGCCCCGUACGCGGCCGGUGGCCGACCCCGCCCGAAGCCCUUUCGACGAGUCGAGUUGUUUGGGAAUGCAGCUCCAAGCGGGUGGUAAAUUCCAUCUAAAGCUAAAUACCGGCCGGAGACCGAUAGCGCACAAGUAGAGUGAUCGAAAGAUGAAAAGCACUUUGGAAAGAGAGUCAAACAGCACGUGAAAUUGUUGAGAGGGAAGCGCUUGCCCCCAGACCUGCCCGCGGGCGAUCACCCGUGGCCGUCAGGCCCGGGGAACGCGCCCGCGUCCAGGCCAGCACGGGUUCGGGCGGCGGGAGAAAGCGCCCGGGAACGUAACUCCCCCCGGGGAGCCUUAUAGCCCGGGUGGCCAUGCCGCCCGCCCGGACCGAGGACCGCGCUUCGGCUAGGGUGCUGGCGUAAUGGGGGUCAGCGGCCCGUCUUGAAACACGGACCAAGGAGUCUAACGUCCCCGCGAGUGUUCGGGCGUCAAACCCCCGGCGCGGAAUGAAAGUGAACGGAGGUGGGAGCCCCGCGAGGGGCGCACCAUCGACCGAUCCUGAUGUCUUCGGAUGGAUUUGAGUAGGAGCGCGGCCGUUGGGACCCGAAAGAUGGUGAACUAUGCCUGGGUAGGGUGAAGCCAGAGGAAACUCUGGUGGAGGCUCGCAGCGGUUCUGACGUGCAAAUCGAUCGUCGAACCUGGGCAUAGGGGCGAAAGACUAAUCGAACCAU